rnacentral:pre_miRNA from 1 species
AGUGAAAUUGCUGGGUCAUAUGGUAACUCUGUGUUGAACUUUUUGAGGAACUUUCAGGCUGUUUCCCAAAGUGGUUUCACCAUUUUACAUUCCAUCAGCAGU